UACGGAGGGAGCUAGCGUUGUUCGGAUUUACUGGGCGUAAAGGGCGCGUAGGCGGCGUGACAAGUCACUUGUGAAAUCUCCGGGCUUAACUCGGAACGGUCAAGUGAUACUGUCGUGCUAGAGUACAGAAGGGGCAACUGGAAUUCUCGGUGUAGCGGUGAAAUGCGUAGAUAUCGAGAGGAACACCGGUGGCGAAGGCGGUUCUCUGGGCAUUACCUGACGCUGAGGAGCGAGAGUGUGGGGAGCGAACAGG
rnacentral:rRNA from 1 species